rnacentral:rRNA from 1 species
AGAGUUUGAUUCUGGCUCAGGACGAACGCUGGCGGCGCGCUUAACGCAUGCAAGUCGAGCGAGAACCUGGCUUCGGCCAGGGGAAAGCGGCGAACGGGUGAGUAUCACGUGAGUUAUCCACCCUCAGUACCGGGAUAGCCCGAGGAAACUCGGAUUAAUACCGGAUGGCCCAACAGUUCUUCGGGACGGUUGGAAAAGGUAGCUUCGGCCUCCGACUGGGGACGAGCUCGCGGCGGAUUAGCUUGUUGGUGGGGUAAUGGCCUACCAAGGCGACGAUCCGUAGCUGGUCUGAGAGGACGAUCAGCCACACUGGGACUGAGACACGGCCCAGACUCCUACGGGAGGCAGCAGUGGGGAAUCUUGCGCAAUGGGCGAAAGCCUGACGCAGCGACGCCGCGUGGGGGAAGAAGGCUUUAGGGUUGUAAACCCCUUUCAGGAAGGACGAAGCUACUCGGGUUAAUAGCCCAGAGGGUGACGGUACUUCCAGAAGAAGCCCCGGCUAACUACGUGCCAGCAGCCGCGGUAAUACGUAGGGGGCAAGCGUUGUCCGGAUUUAUUGGGCGUAAAGAGCGUGUAGGCGGUUCGGUAGGUCCGUUGUGAAAACUCAAGGCUCAACCUUGAGACGCCGAUGGAAACCAUCGAACUAGAGUCCGGAAGAGGAGAAUGGAAUUCCUGGUGUAGCGGUGAAAUGCGCAGAUAUCACGAAGAACACCCGUGGCUAUGCGGUUCUCUAGUACGGUACUGACGCUGAGACGCGAAAGCGUGGGGAGCGAACAGGAUUAGAUACCCUGGUAGUCCACGCCGUAAACGAUGGGUGCUAGGUGUGGGGGGUGUCAACUCCCUCCGUGCCGAAGCUAACGCAUUAAGCACCCGCCUGGGGAGUACGGCCGCAGGCUAAUACUCAAUGAGUGACGGGG